rnacentral:rRNA from 1 species
UCUACCAACUGACCCCAUGCCGAACUCAGAAGUGAAACGCCGUAGCGCCGAUGGUAGUGUGGGGUCUCCCCAUGUGAGAGUAGGGAACUGCCAGGC